AUUGAACGCUGGCGGCAUGCCUUACACAUGCAAGUCGAACGGUAACAGGUCUUCGGAUGCUGACGAGUGGCGAACGGGUGAGUAAUACAUCGGAACGUGCCUAGUAGUGGGGGAUAACUACUCGAAAGAGUGGCUAAUACCGCAUGAAAUCUACGGAGGAAAGCAGGGGAUCGCAAGACCUUGUGCUACUAGAGCGGCCGAUGGCAGAUUAGGUAGUUGGUGGGAUAAAAGCUUACCAAGCCGACGAUCUGUAGCUGGUCUGAGAGGACGAUCAGCCACACUGGGACUGAGACACGGCCCAGACUCCUACGGGAGGCAGCAGUGGGGAAUUUUGGACAAUGGGCGAAAGCCUGAUCCAGCAAUGCCGCGUGCAGGAUGAAGGCCUUCGGGUUGUAAACUGCUUUUGUACGGAACGAAAAGCCCCGGGUUAAUACCCUGGGAUGACGGUACCCAAAGAAUAAGCACCGGCUAACUUCGUGCCAGCCGCCGCAGUAA
rnacentral:rRNA from 1 species